GGCCGGUUAGCUCAGUUGGUUAGAGCACGGUGCCAAUAACACCAAGGUCAGGGGUUCGAAUCCCUGUACCAGCCA